UUGUAACACCCGUCUCACCCUCUCUCGGGAACGGUGUGCCACGUGUAACAUCCGUCUCACCCUCUCUCGGGAACGGCAUGUUACCAUAAUUCACUUUACAACAAAUAACUCUUUUUCCAUAAACAUCCAAUUCUUUAUUAAAUACCAAGGCAAAAAUCCGAUAAAACAUACUAAAUCCAAAUAAGUCGAUAACACAACUGUUUAUUAAAAGUCUCGAAUAAAAAGGCGGAAAACGAGAAUCCAUCCCAAAUGACACACCCCGACUCAUCAAGUCAUAACUACUCGUCUGGCUCACCUGAAAUGGGGAAAGAGGGGUGAGCAACAGGGGAGUCGCUCAGUGAGGUAUGGGAUGCUAAUCCGCAUGUCACUGACUCAGCCAAGAAACUAAUCGCAAAAUAAUGGAGUACCAAAUAUGAGCAAACACAGCACCUACAGUGCUCAAUCAACAUACAAUUUUCCUAUUAAGGAAUAGUGGCCAAUCACAUCCUCAACGAGAUCAUUUAUGGGAUAGUGCCCAAUCACACCCUCUAACGAGGUAAUUUCUGGGAUAGUGCCCACGCACACCCUCUAACGAGGUAAUUUCUGGGAUAGUGCCCACGCACACCCUCUAACGAGGUAAUUUCUGGGAUAGUGCCCACGCACACCGCCCCUGGGACGCUUAUCGAUCUUAAGGUGCAGGGCAACAGAUCGAUUAUGUAUUGCCCUCACCCCUACCUCAAACAAUGCGGCACCAUACAGAAGUUCUUUUAUCUGUAUCCGCUAUAUCUCAAUAUAAUAUAUAUAUAUAUAUAUAUAUAUAUAUAUAUAUAUAUAUAUAUAUAUAUAUAUAUAACUAACAACAAACAUUUAAUAGUAUGUGACAAACAAAUGGGUUUAAUCAUCUAUCUUCCUAUGUCCAAUUUAAGCAAUCAAACUAACUAGACUCGAUCAUUGAAACACAUCACAUUCAGUGUUGCACUAUUCGUAAAUUAGAAUUCUCGAACAGAGCACAGCGGUUUGGAAAUAGCCCUCACCUUAGCAAUGCUGAAACUACGACUUCUGGACCUCGAAUGAAUAAACCGACUCCGGAUCUGAAAUCGGAACAAAAACUCGAGUCAAACGGCGUCCGAACGAAUAAAAAACGGUUUUCGGGUCAACGGUCAAAGUCAACAGUCAAAGUCAACGGUCAACGGUCAAACCGGUCCAACCAGUCAAACCGAUCCGGUCAACUUAAACCAAAAAUCAAUUGAUUUAAACCGACCGGUUAACCUAAACCAAGAAUCAAUUGAUUUAAACCAGAUUAAAUCAAUUUAGACCGACCGGUUAACCCAAACGGUCGGCGGCAACAAAUUCCGGCAAACCUUACCGGAAAAGUCACCGGCGGCGACGGCGGUCCGGCGACGAAGCGGCGGUGGAAUCCCGGCGGCGAACGGACGGCUGCCGAUCACGGCGCCUCCGGCGAAUAGCGGCGGUUCCGGUCACCGGCGGCGGCGCGUGAGAUCCACGCUCCGAAGACUCGGCGGCGCGUGGGUGUCACGCGCUUCCUUCUUCCGGCGCGUGGCGGCGCGUGGCUCGUCGGCGGUGGCAGCGCUUGGUGUCUCCGACUUCGUCUCGUCAUCACGAAUCCGGUGGUGCCCUUGGAUUUGCGAGAUUCGAAGCGGUUAGGGAGAAAUCUUGAAAAUACUAAACGGCCCGAAACUAAAACAUUUAAAACUUGGUUUUAGGAGUUACCUUCGACUAAGCUUUCCGUUGGCUUGGUCGGCUCGGUUACGGGAGAAGAUGGACGGUGGUUCGGUGGUACUAACUCCGACGAGAUUUCUACAGAGUAACACUACUCAGGAGAGUGUUGUGGAGAAAAUGAGAAUGGGAGGGGGUUUUUAUAGAGAAAUAGAGGAGGGGGUACCUAGGUUAAGUGGAUGGGCUUCAUGGGCUUCGAAUGGGCCUUGGGCCAAUAUUGGGCUGUUACA
rnacentral:lncRNA from 1 species